AUUGAACGCUGGCGGCAUGCCUUACACAUGCAAGUCGAACGGUAACAGGUCUUCGGAUGCUGACGAGUGGCGAACGGGCGAGUAAUACAUCGGAACGUGCCUAGUAGUGGGGGAUAACUACUCGAAAGAGUGGCUAAUACCGCAUGAGAUCUACGGAUGAAAGCAGGGGAUCGCAAGACCUUGUGCUACUAGAUCGGCCGAUGGCAGAUUAGGUAGUUGGUGGGAUAAAAGCUUACCAAGCCGACGAUCUGUAGCUGGUCUGAGAGGACGAUCAGCCACACUGGGACUGAGACACGGCCCAGACUCCUACGGGAGGAAGCAGUGGGGAAUUUUGGACAAUGGGCGAAAGCCUGAUCCAGCAAUGCCGCGUGCAGGAUGAAGGCCUUCGGGUUGUAAACUGCUUUUGUACGGAACGAAAAGCCCCGGGUUAAUACCCUGGGGUCAUGACGGUACCGUAAGAAUAAGCACCGGCUAACUACGUGCCAGCAGCCGCCGCAG
rnacentral:rRNA from 1 species